UCGACCCCGAAAACCCUAUUGCUGGACGGAGGCUCUCUAGCCUCUCUUUCUCUCACUCAGUCUCUCUCUCUCACUCUGGUUUCGAAUUUUUGGGAGGUUUGUGCCUCUUGGUGAAAUUUGUGAUGGUCGUUGGAGGACGUGUGGGACUAGAUUGCGUGAUGUUGAGUUGAGGCGAGGCGAAAGUGGUCUUGGUCGAGUUUUUAGCUACGAGGGGUUAGGUACUGGAGCUAGUAGCAGUGGACAGGCGACAUCAACGUACUUCCAGUUGUCGCAGAAAUCCUUUAGCCGCUCUGUGUGCACUGCUUAUUCUAGACACAGGUCAGACUCAUCUCUAUCAGUUAUCUCAGUUCACAUUCAUUUUAUGCGUUUGUCGUAACUGAAUUAUAGCUUCCCCUUGAUUGUGAGUGUUUUUUACCACGAACAUAAACCAAAAUAAGAAAAAUAAUAAGAAAAUAAAAAAAAUCAAAAUAACAUUUAUGAUAUAAAUUAUUAUAUCCUCUAAGAAGAUGAACAAAACUUAUUAAAAAAAAAAACAUCAUCAAAUAAAUAAACAAUAAAUAAAAGUAAAACAAUUAAUGAUUAAGCAUGUUGUUUGAGAAUGUAUGUAAUGUUGUAAGAUUGGUAAGAGGUGAUAAUCAAAGUGUUGAAUUGCAAGGUCUUUAUUCUUUUUGUGAAACUUUGUUAUUAACUUCAUAUUAAAAGAAUAUAUAUAUAUAUAUAUAUAAGAGAAUGUUAAAUAGAUCAAUUUUUUUUAAACUAAAUCAACCCACUCUUGACAAAGAAUAUGGUAAUCAUGAUGAAUGUAGUUGAUUUUUAUUGUUUGCAUAUUUAAUAGUGAAGAUAUGAAUCUAGAGGUGGUUUAUUUAUUUUUAUCAUGGUUAGGAUGGUGGAUUAAUUUAGUAAAAAUCUAGAUCUAUUUAACAUUUUCGUCUAUAUAUAUAUACAUUAUUAAUGUUGAAACCACAUAUGAAGUAUGUAAAUUAAAUUAAAGUUGUUUGGAUGAUGAUGAAUAAUUUAUUUUGUAUGUUUUGGUAGAUAUGUUUGAGACAAAUAAUUCAUGACAUGUAAUUCUUUUUAGAUGUAGGAUUUUUUGAAUUAAGAUCUAAUAAAAAAAUGUCUCUUCAAUGCAAGGCAAUGUAAAAAUUUAUUGUUUAAUUUAGAAAUAAUAUGGCAAAAAAAAUAGCAAAUUAUUGGGUUUAAUUUUUACAUUUUUCAACUAUUAUUGGAAGAUUUAUUUUGAAGUGUAUUUGAAGGCAAAGGUGGUGUAGGUGAAUUGUUGAAGAAAUUGGUGUGAAAUUACAUUGAUACAAAGGACAAACAAAGAGAUAUUUAGAAAAGUUUUCUUGGAAUUAGAGUAAUAAUGUAACACAAUUGAUGAAGUUAUACAUGAGAUAAGAUUUCAUGCAAUGAUUCAAAAAAUUGUUUCAAUAUUAAUAUAUUUUGAAAAGAAUGGUGUAUUAUGGAUGAA